CCCCGACGGGUCCCCCCGGCGGCAGGCCCAGCGCGGGCGAGCCGGUGCGCAUCUGGUUCAGGGUCGGCCUGCCUUGCUCGCCAAACGGGGCUGCUGGACUUCCCCGUGGCCAGGGCCUGGCUGUCCUUGGGCUCUGUGGAUUCUAGAGGUUUGGCAAAUGGAUCGAAGGAUGAGGCACCACCUAGAGCUAGCCAGGAGAAAGAGGGAAAUGGAGUGAACUAGAAGAAAGAGGCAGCACAGUGACCCUGGAGAGGAGGUGAUUUGCCAGCGAGUGGCUGGAAGGAAGGGACUCUUCAGAGGCAUCUUUUAAUGACCCCUCACCUCUGAUCAGCACUUCCCAUUUAUAAAACGUUUCCUCAUCCAUGUAGUGCCCCAUUUCAUACCAUCGCUGUGAGUCUACUUCUUUAGCCCAGUACCCAAGAGAAACUGGCCACCACAGACAAGGAGAGGAAGAAGAGAGAGGGGCUCCCCAGGGACAGAAUGAAUAGCCUGGGAAGGUGAUCUUGUUUUCAGUGGCCACCUGCUCCCCUUCUCAGGGAACCUGAGAUAUUUUCAGCACCAUGUGCUUGAACCAGCUCCUGGUCCAGACCCACAGUAUCACAUGAUCCUACUGUAUGAGAGCUGGAACUGUCCCAAACACCCACUGUGCAAAAAGGGAAACUGAGGCCAGUAAGAAUGCCCCAAGUCAUUAAGUGGCAGGAAGCCCAAGGAGUCUCCAUCAUGACUCUGAUAUGCCACCUCAUGUCAACUCCGUCACCAGCCCCUGCGGAGCGCCACACCUUCAUUUCCCACCUGGUGCCUGCAGCGAGCUCCGCUCUGCGCACUGCACAGACGCCAACCCCGUUAGCCCGCACGCCUCAGCCCACUGUCUACCUGGCUCGUUUUCAGCUUCUCCUCCUCCUUUCUCUCUUCUCUCCCAGGCUCUCUGUCCCGUCGACGUCGGCCAGCGGGUUCUGUGCCGCCGUUGGCCAUGGGAGAGUCAUCGUCCUUCCAGGACCUCGCCCCCUGCAGAAGGGACAGCCACCCUGUGCAGUCUCGGGUCUCACCUAUCUUUUUCUUCUGGGUACCCUGAGCACGUCUCUAGCCCACCCAUGUAAGAGGCAUAAAUGUUUCCUGCCUGGUCUGCCUGGAUCCACAGAGGCAUCCUGUCCAGACCCAGGUCUCACCUUUUCAGCCUCCUCACGGCUCAUGGCCAGGGCCAGCUGCAGCUGCAGUUCUUCUUCUCCGGAU